GGCCAGGGCGGAGCUGAGAGACAAAAACCUGGAUAAAGACUGCGUGGGGAAGGGCAACAGACCUGGCGCAGGUGUUGCGCGUUCCUUUUUUAGGCCAGGACGCGAGCUGCAGAGCUGAUCCGGCAUCCGGGAUUUCCUUUGAAAUUUGAAGGAAGAAAUUACCUAUGUGGACACAACCAAGCGCCCCUCAGGACAGUGCAGCCAGCGUCCACUAGAGGGCAGCAGAGAGACGGAGAUGCUAGAGAGAACCAUGGAUUAGAUUAGUUCACAGCCACUCCAGAGGACGCGAGUAGCCUAAUAAAAACAAUACCAAUAAUA